rnacentral:lncRNA from 1 species
CGCAUAUUGUCUGCAUCUGUCGCGACUCUUUGCCCUGCUGGAUCUCCCAGGGUGUCUACAUUUUCACCGCUGCCCACGUUUCUCUGUGUCUUACCAUUUCCUUUUUUCCCUGAUUUCUGCGAGUCACCGAGCAACGUCCCUUCUGGGCAAGAACCUGGGCUUGUCCGCCUGCCUCGCCAGCUACAGAAUCGCCACCCACGCUGCAUGCGCUCUUCCUCGUUGAGAACGGUCUUCAGAGCGAAGACUUCUUGCGUCUUACGGUGUUUGAAAAUUUUCACGUCUCCUGAAGGCGAGGGCGGGAGGGAUAUGCCCAGAAAACACACGUCCACGAAACUAUGCAUCCAGAGGACAACCGAAGAGACAUGCCCCUGUAUUCAUCUUCGUGUGUGUCUAUACAGCUGUGGAAACUGUGGAGCGGGGAAUUCCCAAGAAACAAAGACGUGCGCACGUACACAGACGUGCAUAGAUGUUUGCACUUCUGCAGAAGAUUCGCUUUACCCGAGACAAGAGCAC